UACGUAGGGGGCUAGCGUUGUCCGGAAUCAUUGGGCGUAAAGCGCGUGUAGGCGGCCCGGUAAGUCCGCUGUGAAAGUCGGGGGCUCAACCCUCGGAUGCCGGUGGAUACUGUCGGGCUAGAGUGCGGAAGAGGCGAGUGGAAUUCCUGGUGUAGCGGUGAAAUGCGCAGAUAUCAGGAGGAACACCGGUGGCGAAGGCGGCAUCCUGGACCGGCAUUGACGCUGAGGAGCGAAAGCUAGGGGAGCAAACGGG
rnacentral:rRNA from 1 species